rnacentral:tRNA from 1 species
GGGAGUGUAGUUUAAUGGUAAAACGAUAGUCUCCAAAACUAUUGAUUGAGGUUCAAUUCCUCAUACUCUCG